GCUGGAAGGCGGACUCGAAGACGCUGGCGCCUUCUAGGCCGUGACGUGCGGUUCCUCCUUAUCUCUUGCCUGAAUCUACCCUGAGACAAAUGACGCCUCUUUUUUAUCUGAUUUUUUUUUUAAGAUGCCCUGAAGAGUCCUGGAUGAGUGAAUCUCAGGCUUUGCAAAACUAUCUGGCCGUCUCUGACCGCUUGCUGCUUGCAGUUUCAGGCUGAACGGGGGAAGGUGCUCUUGGAUGAGCAGUGAAUAUUUGAACUAUACCACGGACGGGUAAUUUACAAAUGGUCCCAGAAAUUCCAGAAGCAGGAAACACUUGUACGGAAUAGCAGAGUCCUGAUCACCAAGGCCAGAGAAGGUUGGAGUGAAGGUGAUCUAAAAUGUGCAGAUGGAUUCAGCAUAAGUGAUUACCAGCUGGAACCAAAGCAUCUCGGCUGUUACAAGUGACGUCCACAGGCCGGAUCGCGCCGGGGAAGAGCUGAGCCCGCCAGCUAAGUGCAGGAGCUGCAAUCAGACGUGUGUUGGAAUUUCAGGUCCAGCAAUUCCUAAGUUCUGGAGUCUGAGAAGUCCAAGAUCAAGGUGCCAACAGACUCAGUGGCUGAUGAGAGCCAGCUUCCUGGUUCGUGGCCUGUGUCUUCUCGCGUGACCUCACAUGAAAAACGUCUAUCUGUACAAAAAAUGGAAAAAUGUCCUCAGUGUUACUGAAGGCCCGGCAGCCUUUUCUCUUUGCGAUGCUUCUUCAACACCAGAAACACGACCCGAGGGGUGACUGGUGGGCUGUGAACGUUUUGAAGCGUGUGACAGACAGCUGUACAUUUCCCUGACCAGGACAGGAGGCGGCCUUGCCCCGCCCUCUGAACAGGACAACUCUCAGCAGGCAGUUGGGAUGUAGCUGCAGUGACCCUGGGUUUGUGCCCAGAGCUGCACGUUGAUCGAAGUGGGAUCGGGCUGCACUGACAUCAUUCCUUACAAACUGCCUUUGACCGUAAACCUGGAACAUUCUUUCCUGUCCAUCAAUACAAUUUCAACCCCUCGUUUGAAAAAGCACAAAACUUGGUAGAAUAUUGAUAACUGUUGAAGCACAGAAAUAGCUACAUGGAGGUUUGUGAACUCUUUUCUUAAUUUUGUGCCUGUUUGAAACUUCCCCUGGUCAGACUUUUCAAAAUAGGUUCUAGCUUGCUCUUAUAUUCCCACUUCGGUUUUCUGCA